rnacentral:lncRNA from 1 species
AAUCUCUCAAAUUUUCGUUGCAAAAUUUUCAUUACAACUUUGCAAACUUUCGUUGCAAACGGUGUUUGGGUUCAUUCCCCUUGCCCGAUGCCCCGAACCCUCGAUCCACUCUUAUUCUCUCUCUAAACUUUCACUGCAAAUUUGAAACAUUCCAAAUUUUUCAUUGUACUAUUCUCUUUCCUUUGAAACCCUCCCUUGUUGUCUUCAUCCAUCUUUUUCCCAUGAACUCUUUUCUUGCUGUCAUUGUAGAACAAGGGCUAUUAACCCAUUGUCCUGGUAUUUAUCCAUUUCACAUCCGUUUUAUUUGUGCCUACUCUCUCUUCCUCUAGUAUUUGUUGUUCACUUCGUUUAUAUCCACGCCUACCCAUCUGUCUACUGUUUAAUUCGUAUUGAUAUCAUUCACUUCCUUUGCAAGCAUAUUAAUUUGUAUUGAUAUCAUCCACAGUCUAUUUUUUUUUUCCAGCAAAAUUUGUCCGUCAAAAUUUAUCACGCCAAGUUUGGCUCGUCCAAUCCUACACAAUUGAUCACUUUGUGCUUGCAAGUUUUUACUUGACGUUUCUUUGUAAUGCUUUGCAAGCUGUUGUGCUCUCCCACAGCAACAGUCUUUCGUUGAACCUAGCAAUUUGCAGUUGUCAUCCAUCCUCUUAGCAAACUUUCUUUCUCUCUAAAACAACAACAAACAAAAAAAUAAUGGCCCGAGUGUUACUAUUUAUGUGUGUCUUGAUGGGAAGAACUACUACUUGUGCUCUUUCCAAAUGACACGUUAUCUCAAGGGAAUGAAGUUAUGGAGUUCCAUUGGUAGUUUUCUUCGUCUUCCUAAGGAAGAGAAUGGGCAUAGUGAUUGGCUUGCCAUAGAUAGCUCUAUUG